GACGAACGCUGGCGGCGUGCUUAACACAUGCAAGUCGAACGGAAAGGCCCUGCUUGCAGGGUACUCGAGUGGCGAACGGGUGAGUAACACGUGGGUGAUCUGCCCUCCACUUCGGGAUAAGCCUGGGAAACUGGGUCUAAUACCGGAUAGGAGCCAUUUUUAGUGUGAUGGUUGGAAAGUUUUUUCGGUGUAGGAUGAGCUCGCGGCCUAUCAGCUUGUUGGUGGGGUAAUGGCCUACCAAGGCGGCGACGGGUAGCCGGCCUGAGAGGGUGGACGGCCACAUUGGGACUGAGAUACGGCCCAGACUCCUACGGGAGGCAGCAGUGGGGAAUAUUGCACAAUGGGCGCAAGCCUGAUGCAGCGACGCCGCGUGGGGGAUGACGGCCUUCGGGUUGUAAACUCCUUUCGCUAGGGACGAAGCUUUUUGUGACGGUACCUAGAGAAGAAGCACCGGCUAACUACGUG
rnacentral:rRNA from 1 species